rnacentral:rRNA from 1 species
UGGGGAAUAUUGCACAAUGGGCGCAAGCCUGAUGCAGCCAUGCCGCGUGUGUGAAGAAGGCCUUCGGGUUGUAAAGCACUUUUGUCCGGAAAGAAAUCCUUGGCUCUAAUACAGUCGGGGGAUGACGGUACCGGAAGAAUAAGCACCGGCUAACUACGUGCCAGCAGCCGCGGUAAUACGUAGGGUGCAAGCGUUAAUCGGAAUUACUGGGCGUAAAGCGUGCGCAGGCGGUUUGCUAAGACCGAUGUGAAAUCCCCGGGCUCAACCUGGGAACUGCAUUGGUGACUGGCAGGCUAGAGUAUGGCAGAGGGGGGUAGAAUUCCACGUGUAGCAGGUGAAAUGCGUAGAGAUGUGGAGGAAUACCGAUGGCGAAGGCAGCCCCCUGGGCCAAUACUGACGCUCAUGCACGAAAGCGUGGGGAGCAAACAGGAUUAGAUACCCCUGGUAGUCCACGCCCUAAACGAUGUCAACUAGUUGUUGGGGAUUCAUUUCCUUAGUAACGUAGCUAACGCGUGAAGUUGACCGCCUGGGGAGUACGGUCGCAAGAUUAAAACUCAAAUGAUUGAC